AGACCCCAAGAGAUGUUGCCUUUGAGACACCUAAGAAUGUGUUUGACAAUUAGCCAGUGAGAUGCAAAAGGUGCUUCCAUGAACUGAUACACUUUGUUGACAAAAAGCAAAUGUUAGAUCUAGGGUAACAUAUUUCAAAGCUCCAACCACAAAUCUAUGAAUGGUUGGGUCAUGUAUGGUAUCAGAGACAUAAUUAGAGAGUUUUAAGCCAACCACCAUAGGAGAGGAUUCUGGUUUGGGUGAGUAAAU
rnacentral:lncRNA from 1 species